rnacentral:rRNA from 1 species
GACGAACGCUGGCGGCGUGCUUAACACAUGCAAGUCGAACGGAAAGGCCCUUCGGGGUACUCGAGUGGCGAACGGGUGAGUAACACGUGGGUGAUCUGCCCUGCACUUUGGGAUAAGCCUGGGAAACUGGGUCUAAUACCGAAUAUGACCGCGCUCUUCAUGGGGUGUGGUGGAAAGCUUUUGCGGUGUGGGAUGGGCCCGCGGCCUAUCAGCUUGUUGGUGGGGUAAUGGCCUACCAAGGCGACGACGGGUAGCCGGCCUGAGAGGGUGACCGGCCACACUGGGACUGAGAUACGGCCCAGACUCCUACGGGAGGCAGCAGUGGGGAAUAUUGCACAAUGGGCGCAAGCCUGAUGCAGCGACGCCGCGUGAGGGAUGACGGCCUUCGGGUUGUAAACCUCUUUCAAUAGGGACGAAGCGCAAGUGACGGUACCUAUAGAAGAAGGACCGGCCAACUACGUGCCAGCGGCCGCAGUAA